rnacentral:rRNA from 1 species
GACGAACGCUGGCGGCGUGCUUAACACAUGCAAGUCGAACGAAGUGGCGAACGGGUGAGUAACGCGUAAUUAACCUGCCCUUCAGAGGGGGACAACAGUUGGAAACGACUGCUAAUACCGCAUACUGAAGGAGGGGAUUGAGUCUGAUUAGCUAGUUGGGGGGGUAACGGCCCACCAAGGCGAUGAUCAGUAGCCGGGCUGAGAGGAAGAACGGGCACAUUUGGACUGAGGAACGGCCCAGACUCCUACGGGAGGCAGCAGUGGGGAAUCUUCCGCAAUGGGCGAAAGUCUUGCGGAGCAACGCCGCGUGAGUGAUGACGGCCUUCGGGUUUUAAAGCUCUGUUAAUCGGGACGCGGUACCGGCAUAGAAAGCAACGGCUAACUACGUGCCAGCAGCCGCGGUAAUUC